UACGUAGGGGGGCAAGCGUUGUCCGGAAUCACUGGGCGUAAAGGGCGCGUAGGUGGCGCGGGCAGUCAACGGUGAAAGUUCGGGGCUCAACCCUGAAUCGGCCGUCGAUACUCCCGGGCUUGAGCACUGUAGAGGCAGAUGGAAUUCCGGGUGUAGCGGUGGAAUGCGUAGAGAUCCGGAAGAACACCGGUGGCGAAGGCGGUUAGCUGGGGCAGUUGCUGACACUGAGGCGCGACAGCGUGGGGGAGCAAACAGGG
rnacentral:rRNA from 1 species